rnacentral:rRNA from 1 species
CGAGUCAGGUAUCGUAAGAUGCCGGCACACUGCUCAGUAACACGUGGAUAAUCUAACCUUGAGUAAGGGAUAACUUCGGGAAACUGAAGGUAAUACCUUAUAAUUGCUUAAAACUGGAAUGUUUUUGCAAUAAAAGUUACGACGCUCAAGGAUGAGUCUGCGACCUAUCAGGUAGUAGGUGGUGUAAUGGACCACCUAGCCUCAGACGGGUACGGGCCCUGGGAGGGGUAGCCCGGAGAUGGACUCUGAGACAUAAGUCCAGGCCCUACGGGGCGCAUCAGGCGCGAACACUGUGCAAUGC